rnacentral:rRNA from 1 species
UACGUAGGGGGCAAGCGUUGUCCGGAAUCAUUGGGCGUAAAGCGCGUGUAGGCGGCUCGGUAAGUCCGCUCUGAAAGUCCAGGGCUCAACCCUGGGAUGCGGGUGGAUACUGCCGGGCUCGAGUCCGGAAGAGGCGAGUGGAAUUCCCGGUGUAGCGGUGAAAUGCGCAGAUAUCGGGAGGAACACCAAUGGCGAAGGCAGCUCGCUGGGACGUGACUGACGCUGAGACGCGAAAGCAUGGGGAGCGAACAGG